CAUGUUUUGUUGAUAAAUAAGUCUUUACAUAAUUGUUUACCCUUUUCAAUCUGCCAAGUAGAAACUACAUACUAAAAUAGACUUCUCAGGAAAGAAAAUCCAUCUAGCAAGCUUCUCUAACCACGAGCCAUCAAUUUCUCGCUGGUAUGCUUGGUUGUUGAAUACUGCAACUGUUGUGGCAAUACUUGCAUGAUGAUAUCCUGCAUUUUCUUUGGUUGCAGCAAAUAAUAACAUUUCUGAGGCCAACAGAUUCGGUGGGUGCACAUGCUCAGGUUGCUGAUACUUCAGCUAAGCAUGGGCUAUUUCUUCAGAAGCAACUCAAUAUUUUUGAAGUUGCUCCUUCCUUUUUUUAUCUCUACAGUGAUAAUGGCUGUUGUAGCAUGUUCCUUCCUAGAGAGGCUGGGAGUUUUCUUUGUUUUCCUGGAGCUAUGUCUCUUUAUGUCAACAAAAAAGAACCAUAAUGAAUAAUUUUGCAAGGAGAAAACUCCCUAAUUAUUAGCAUCAAAGUAUAGCUAUAUGAUUAUGAGUCUUGUGUUGAUUAAUGUUUAAAUUGAUCAUAAAUGCUUGAAAGAAAAUUUGAAUAUAGAUCUCAUAACUGAAUGGAAACAGCAAAAUUAAAUGUAAUUAUGCAGUAGGGUGACAACCUAGGGAAUGAAGACCUUGCCAUUGUGGGGUCUAAUCUAUCAUAGAUAUGCGUGGGACAUUCAGCUAAUAACGAAUGAAUGAAUUAUAACCAAUAAGAGAAGCUGGUGAGGUAUAAGUAAAACAUAAGAGGCAUACUGGAUAAUUCAAAAGUAAACAGGGUUGUUAAAUUCAAAAUUGUAGUCCAGCAAAACUUGCAGAAAUUACCUGAGAAAAGCUUUUACCGAUGGUGGUAAGUCCUUUGUGAACUAUGCUUGAAGCUUCUUUUGAAUUCCUUUGUUGCUUCUUUAU
rnacentral:lncRNA from 1 species